rnacentral:rRNA from 1 species
UGGGGAAUAUUGCACAAUGGGCGAAAGCCUGAUGCAGCAACGCCGCGUGAGUGAUGAAGGCCUUCGGGUUGUAAAGCUCUGUCUUUUGGGACGAUAAUGACGGUACCAAAGGAGGAAGCCACGGCUAACUACGUGCCAGCAGCCGCGGUAAUACGUAGGUGGCAAGCGUUGUCCGGAUUUACUGGGCGUAAAGGAUGCGUAGGCGGAUUUUUAAGUGAGAUGUGAAAACCCUAAACUUAACUUGGGGGACUGCAUUUCAUACUGGAAAUCUAGAGUGCGGGAGAGGAGAAUGGAAUUCCUAGUGUAGCGGUGAAAUGCGUAGAGAUUAGGAAGAACACCAGUGGCGAAGGCGAUUCUCUGGACCGUAACUGACGCUGAGGCAUGAAAGCGUGGGUAGCAAACAGGAUUAGAUACCCUGGUAGUCCACGCCGUAAACGAUGAGUACUAGGUGUAGGAGGUAUCGACCCCUUCUGUGCCGCAGUUAACACAAUAAGUACUCCGCCUGGGAAGUACGAUCGCAAGAUUAAAA